UACGUAGGGGGCAAGCGUUGUCCGGAUUUAUUGGGCGUAAAGAGCGUGUAGGCGGCCAGGGAGGUCCGUUGUGAAAACUCGAGGCUCAACCUCGAGACGCCGAUGGAAACCCCCUGGCUAGAGUCCGGAAGAGGAGAAUGGAAUUCCUGGUGUAGCGGUGAAAUGCGCAGAUAUCAGGAAGAACACCCGUGGCUAAGGCGGUUCUCUAGUACGGUACUGACGCUGAGACGCGAAAGCGUGGGAGCGAACAGG
rnacentral:rRNA from 1 species